rnacentral:rRNA from 1 species
GGUUAAGCGACUAAGCGUACACGGUGGAUGCCCUGGCAGUCAGAGGCGAUGAAGGACGUGCUAAUCUGCGAUAAGCGCCGGUAAGGUGAUAUGAACCGUUAUAACCGGCGAUUUCCGAAUGGGGAAACCCAGUGUGACUCGUCACACUAUCAUUAACUGAAUCCAUAGGUUAAUGAGGCGAACCGGGGGAACUGAAACAUCUAAGUACCCCGAGGAAAAGAAAUCAACCGAGAUUCCCCCAGUAGCGGCGAGCGAACGGGGAGGAGCCCAGAGCCUGAAUCAGCAUGUGUGUUAGUGGAAGCGUCUGGAAAGGCGCGCGAUACAGGGUGACAGCCCCGUACACAAAAGCGCAUGUGCUGUGAGCUCGAUGAGUAGGGCGGGACACGUGGUAUCCUGUCUGAAUAUGGGGGGACCAUCCUCCAAGGCUAAAUACUCCUGACUGACCGAUAGUGAACCAGUACCGUGAGGGAAAGGCGAA